GUGAGCCGUGUGAUAGGUAACUAUCUUGCACGGUUCGGGGAGCACUUUCUUAUUUUACUUGAGUGAACGGCCGCCGCAUUGCGGUACGCAAAAAAUUUCCUGCUUGAUUCUGC
rnacentral:ncRNA from 1 species